rnacentral:rRNA from 1 species
AUUGAACGCUGGCGGCAUGCUUUACACAUGCAAGUCGGACGGCAGCACAGAGAAGCUUGCUUCUUGGGUAGCGAGUGGCGAACGGGUGAGUAACAUAUCGGAACGUACCGAGCAGUGGGGGAUAACUAAUCGAAAGAUUAGCUAAUACCGCAUAUUUUCUGAGGAAGAAAGCAGGGGACCUUUGGGCCUUGCGCUGUUUGAGCGGCCGAUAUCUGAUUAGCUAGUUGGUGGGGUAAAGGCCUACCAAGGCGACGAUCAGUAGCGGGUCUGAGAGGAUGAUCCGCCACACUGGGACUGAGACACGGCCCAGACUCCUACGGGAGGCAGCAGUGGGGAAUUUUGGACAAUGGGCGCAAGCCUGAUCCAGCCAUGCCGCGUGUCUGAAGAAGGCCUUCGGGUUGUAAAGGACUUUUGUCAGGGAAGAAAAGGGCGGGGUUAAUACCCCUGUCUGAUGACGGUACCUGAAGAAUAAGCACCGGCUAACUACGUG